UAUGCUAGAAAGAGAAUAAAUGUUAAAAGAUUCUUUCCUUGUAAGUAACUAGAAUUUUGUUUAUGUUUAGAAUAUUGCUUCUCGACGGAAAAACAUCAAGAUAUAUUUCACUCUUGGUUUGCGACGAAUAAUAGUCGGCCAUUUUGAAGGAAAAAAAAUUUUGAAUUGUGACAUUAUUUACUUCACUUCCGUUCGGAAGUAUUUUGUUCUCGUGAAAUCAUCUUUGACAGCAGUAAAUAAUGUUUACCUAUAUAAAUGUGAGUUAAAUUGGCGAUGACAGAUUUUACGAGUUAGUUUGUGAGAAAAUAAGUCACCUGUUUUUGUUUUGCAAAAAAGCAUAUUAGAAAAAAGGACCUUAAAGCAAGUGCAGAAACAAUCUUCACCAUGAGAUUUUCUUGGCCAACGAGACUUGGCAUCUUUCAAUUGCUUAUGGCUUGUUUACUAAUUGCUUUACUGACAAGUUCAGGUGAAGCCCAUGGUCCGAUGAUCAUUUUAAAAGGUAGCAGCCGUGGUCGGCAUGGCCAUCAUGGUGGUGGUUUUGGAGGAAUGGGUGCUCUCGGACUUUUAGCUGCAGGUGUAGCAGUAAAAAUGGCUCAUCAGUUCAUGAAAAAUCAUCAUGGAGGAUUCGGAGGAUUAGCUGCUCAUCACGGACCAGCGAUGGGACACUCAUUUGGCAGUCAUGAUGCUCAUCUUGCAGAUUAUGGAUAUACGCCACAAGAACAUGGGCAUUGGAUGCCAUAACUGAUUCCUCCUUACUAGUCAUUGUAAAUAAUUUAUGUGAAUAGAUGAAUAUGAAAUGUGUACAGAUGUAUGUACAUAGUACAAACACUGUUUUUUACUAAUAAAAUUGAGCUCAAUUUUA